rnacentral:rRNA from 1 species
UGGAAGUAAAAGUCGUAACAAGGUCUCCGUUGGUGAACCAGCGGAGGGAUCAUUACCGAGUUUACAACUCCCAAACCCCAAUGUGAACGUUACCAAUCUGUUGCCUCGGCGGGAUUCUCUUGCCCCGGGCGCGUCGCAGCCCCGGAUCCCAUGGCGCCCGCCGGAGGACCAACUCCAAACUCUUUUUUUCUCUCCGUCGCGGCUCCCGUCGCGGCUCUGUUUUAUUUUUGCUCUGAGCCUUUCUCGGCGACCCUAGCGGGCGUCUCGAAAAUGAAUCAAAACUUUCAACAACGGAUCUCUUGGUUCUGGCAUCGAUGAAGAACGCAGCGAAAUGCGAUAAGUAAUGUGAAUUGCAGAAUUCAGUGAAUCAUCGAAUCUUUGAACGCACAUUGCGCCCGCCAGUAUUCUGGCGGGCAUGCCUGUCCGAGCGUCAUUUCAACCCUCGAACCCCUCCGGGGGGUCGGCGUUGGGGAUCGGCCCCUCACCGGGCCGCCCCCGAAAUACAGUGGCGGUCUCGCCGCAGCCUCUCCUGCGCAGUAGUUUGCACACUCGCACCGGGAGCGCGGCGCGGCCACAGCCGUAAAACACCCCAAACUUCUGAAAUGUUGACCUCGGAUCAGGUAGGAAUACCCGCUGAACUUAAGCAUAUCAAUAGCGGAGGA